ACUCCUACGGGAGGCAGCAGUGGGGAAUCUUGGACAAUGGGGGCAACCCUGAUCCAGCCAUGCCGCGUGAGUGAUGAAGGCCUUAGGGUCGUAAAGCUCUUUCGCCUGUGAUGAUAAUGACAGUAGCAGGUAAAGAAACCCCGGCUAACUCCGUGCCAGCAGCCGCGGUAAUACGGAGGGGUUAGCGUUGUUCGGAAUUACUGGGCGUAAAGCGCGCGUAGGCGGAUUAGUCAGUUAGAGGUGAAAUCCCAGGGCUCAACCCUGGAACUGCCUUUAAUACUGCUAGUCUUGAGUUCGAGAGAGGUGAGUGGAAUUCCGAGUGUAGAGGUGAAAUUCGUAGAUAUUCGGAGGAACACCAGUGGCGAAGGCGGCUCACUGGCUCGAUACUGACGCUGAGGUGCGAAAGUGUGGGGAGCAAACAGGAUUAGAUACCCUGGUAGGAUAGCG
rnacentral:rRNA from 1 species